rnacentral:rRNA from 1 species
AAGACCUUGCGCUUUUGGAGCGGCCGAUGCCUGAUUAGCUUGUUGGUAAGGUAAAAGCUUACCAAGGCUUCGAUCAGUAGCUGGUCUGAGAGGACGGCCAGCCACACUGGGACUGAGACACGGCCCAGACUCCUACGGGAGGCAGCAGUGGGGAAUUUUGGACAAUGGGGGCAACCCUGAUCCAGCCAUGCCGCGUGAGCGAAGAAGGCCUUCGGGUUGUAAAGCUCUUUCAGCCGGAACGAAACGGUUACGGUUAAUACCCGUGAUUACUGACGGUACCGGAAGAAGAAGCACCGGCUAACUACGUGCCAGCAGCCGCGGUAAUACGUAGGGUGCGAGCGUUAAUCGGAAUUACUGGGCGUAAAGCGUGCGCAGGUGGUUUUGUAAGUCAGAUGUGAAAGCCCCGGGCUCAACCUGGGAACU